ACAUUCAUCACCCCCCCAAACACGUGGAGACAGUGCUUGCUCUGCAGAUGCGGCUUCUACGAAAUGCCCUGAACCCCACUUCCAGCUAGACUUGGUGCCCUUGAACCCAUAGAAAUCCUGGAGCAGCACUCCUUUCGUCGGGGCUACUGGAGGUCACCAACAGAGUGCUUGGGGGGGCUUAUGAGUUUGACCCCAAACAUCCUGAUUUCAGAGCCACACCGUUUUGUAGGGUUAGUUAAUCCAGCUGUCCAAGGAGCACUAAUGCACUGGAAGGAAAUUGGUUUUAUUUUGCCCUAUGGCUACAAAGUCUUUGGUCCUAGGGAGAUGGAGGACAGAUUGAGAGAGCAGAACGAUCAUUUUAAAUUAAUUACCUCCCUCCCAACAUCUUGGCCUAGGAAGGACAGCACACAUGGAAGCAAGGAUUCCUCAUGUGUCUGCAAGUUACAUGAACUAAUCCAGAAGUAUGUAGAGUUGGUAUCCAGAGUCAAAAUACCAACUGUUUUAUUUAGAUCCCACCUCUUUACAAAAGACGGUUCCUUCUUUGAAGGAGUUUAUAAUCCGGAUAGAUGAGAAUAACACAUAAAUCAAUAGACCUUGGUGAAGGUGUUGAUAGAAGUUGGUGCCAGGGCUGGACUCCUGAUACCUGGUCCAGAGCAUUUCCCAUUAUCACGUCAUGCCCUGGUUAUACGAGCCGUUGGAGUUCCAAGGAGGUUAUCGCUAGUGGGAGAGUUGUCUGUCACCCUAGUCCUCCAUUACCAGAAUCACUUGGGGUUGGCGUGUAAGGUCACCGAAUGUCGAUUGCUUGCACCACCGUAGCUCACGUGCUGCUACCUGCCACCAAGCUCGCUCCAGCUGGUCCUCCCCACUCCCACUUUCCAUUCCCAAAUGCUCUCCCUCCCCUUUGAGGGAGAGCCACUCCUACUCAUACUUCGGCUUCAGCAAAGACAUGAUUUCCUCCAG